GUAUCAGUCAGAGAUUAACCCAAGUUAGGGUUCCAUCAAAUAUUCGGGGCUUGAUCCUCUAUUUGCCAAUAGUGUCCUUUCCUAAACUGAUGGCAGACAGUUUCAUAGUAUGAUACCAUCCCUUUUGUCUCCCAAGGUAUUAGAGUAGAAAGUGCUGGUUAUAGACUGCAGACAUACCACUCAUGAGCAUUGAAAGAGCCAAAGAGAAAUGAGAAGAAGGAGUUUGGAGAGUGCAAGAGACCAAUAAUCCCAGACAUCAGUAGGUCUCUUCUAAGAUGACAAUUGCAGGGAUGGUAGCCCCUUCUGAGGCCAUGAAGCCAGCCGUGUUUCAAGGAGAUAGGUGCAGAGGUUUCUGGCAAACUGCACCUGAAGCUGCUGACAAACAGGACUCACGACAUGGAAGCUGAGUCUAAACCUCCUGAACUGCCUUCAAAAGUUCAGCCUCUGCCUUUGGAACUCAGGUGAUUUUUCUGAUGAAGAUGUGUACAAACCACAAUAGAAUCAACCUGUCUCAUGGAAGGAAUGGCUUCCUGGAGCCAAAAGGAGCAUAUACUUAUUUUUGUUUGUAAGCACUGAGAACCUCCUACACACUUGUCAUUGUGUAUUUAAUAAACAGCCAUAUUA